GCAAGUCGUGCGCGAACGUCUUCGGACAAGUAAAGCGGCGAAAGGGUGAGUAACACGUAACCAACGUACCUCUUAGAUUGGAAUAACCUCUGGAAACGGUGGGUAAUGCCAAAUGGUCCGCCGGCAGGCAUCUGCUGGACGGUAAACGGCGGCGCUUGACUUCGGUCGGGGCUGUUGCUAAGAGAGCGGGUUGCGGCCUAUCAGCUUGUUGGUGGGGUAACGGCCUACCAAGGCGAUGACGGGUAGCGGGUCUGAGAGGAUGAUC
rnacentral:rRNA from 1 species